rnacentral:rRNA from 1 species
UACAGAGGUGACAAACGUUGUCCGGAAUUAUUGGGCGUAAAGGGCGCGUAGGUGGUUGAGUAAGUCAGGUGUGAAAGCUCUGGGCUUAACCCAGGAAUUGCAUCUGAUACUGCUCGGCUUGAGUACGGUAGAGGAGGGUGGAAUUCCCAGUGUAGCGGUGAAAUGCGUAGAUAUUGGGAGGAACACCGGUGGCGAAGGCGGCCCUCUGGACCGAAACUGACACUGAAGCGCGAAAGCCAGGGGAGCGAACGGG